ensembl:snoRNA
UAGAUGUGCUCAGAGCAGGAGGCCUGAAGAAAUGGUUCCUCUGUUUACAACACACCCAACAGGAAUCAUUGUAACAAGGGGCACAAAACUUGUGGCCUUCCUAUGAACAAAUACCCUACACAU